rnacentral:rRNA from 1 species
UCGGGAAUAUUGGACAAUGGGCGCAAGCCUGAUCCAGCCAUGCCGCGUGAGUGACGAAGGUCUUCGGAUUGUAAAGCUCUUUUGGCGGGGACGAUAAUGACGGUACCCGCAGAAUAAGCCCCGGCUAACUUCGUGCCAGCAGCCGCGGUAAUACGAAGGGGGCUAGCGUUGUUCGGAAUUACUGGGCGCAAAGCGCACGUAGGCGGAUUUGUAAGUCAGGGGUGAAAUCCCGGGGCUCAACCUCGGAACUGCCUCUGAUACUGCGGAUCUCGAGUCCGGAAGAGGUGAGUGGAAUUCCUAGUGUAGAGGUGAAAUUCGUAGAUAUUAGGAAGAACACCAGUGGCGAAGGCGGCUCACUGGUCCGGUACUGACGCUGAGGUGCGAAAGCGUGGGGAGCAAACAGGAUUAGAUACCCGCGUAGUCCCUGAGCGGGCUGGCAAGGCGCAU